CCAACAAUGGUAGAUUUAAUUCUGUUGGCCAAAUCGACGAGGGCUUUGUCAUCCGUGUUUCGAGGCACAACGGCGGCUGCCGGUGCCUCUCCGUACUUUGGGCUCGGUAUGCCAACUACGCAGACGUCCUGCACCACUCGGUAGUGCUCUGCGAGCAAGAUUUCUUCAAGAGCAGCGGGAACCACCUGGUUGUCCAUACAUUUGAUCAUUUCUUUAAAGCGCUGAACGAAGUGUAUGCGUCCUUCCUCGUCGUAGUAGCCGGCAUCUCCUG